rnacentral:lncRNA from 1 species
GAGUAUGGACAGAAGCUAGAAGUGUCAAUCAAGAACCAUUCAAGAAUUGAGCAACAAGUCAGAAGCCAAGCUCAAGAAAGGUUAAUUGAUGGCAGGGGGAGCUUCUUUAAAGAUCGCACACCAAAACAUUGUUAAGAGUCAUGGCAAAGAGAGAAGACUCAAGGCCAUAAGCAAGACUCUACCACCAUCCGUUGAAAAGGCUGUCCUCUAAACUCUAUCUAUUUUCAUUACCCUAGUUCCAUUCAUUGCCAUUAUUCUCUAAUAGGGUCUCUUAGCUUAUGACAUUGAAAACUUUUGAUAUUCCUCAUAGCACACACUUAAUCUUUCUUCUUUAUCUCUUAUUAAAAGGUGAAGGAGACUAUGAGAGCCUCAAAGAAGUUCAAAAUGUCAAAGAAGGAGUACAUAAAAGGAGAAAUGAAGGCAAGAAGGACAAGGAAAAUGGAUGUAACGUUUCAAGAAACGGAGAAAGGAAGCCAAUAUAUCAUCAAGGCUACAAGACCAAGUUCACCAAGUCUUGUAGGCCUCAAGUAUCCUUGAAAAGGCUUCCCCGCUUAUGUCAGUAAUACUCUUUUUCCCUAAUACCGGUUUUGUCCCACGUGGUUUUCCAAUCUUAGGUUUUUAAUGAGGUUACUCGCAUAAGUGUCAAGUCUAUACACAAUGAUCAUUGUUGUACAGACUUGAGGGGGAGUGUUAAUCAAGAAAGUGUUUAACACUAAUUAAUCCAUAAUUAGGUGUUAAACACAGUGACUUGUGCAGCAAGCAACGAGUUCGAAUUCAAAUUAAAGAGAAGAGAAGGAAGAGGAAAGCAACGGCUAGUUUGACCAAGGAGGAAGACCGUACGGACGCGCUAAGGAGUGGUCCUCGUCCUCUUGUGCGAGCUGUCCCAUUUUGUCCUAUUAGUGAGCUGUCUCUAGCUAGGGUAACUAAAGGUGUGUGUAAAAGGCUGAAUAAGGAUGCAAUGGUGUCUAUGUGCA